AUGUACAUGCCUAUUGCUUAGUAUUAAUGCAUCGGAUCCCAUUAGAACUUCACAAUUAAAUGCAUUCAAGUUAGAGUAGUACUAGGAUGGGUGACCGCCUGGGAAGUCCUACUAUUUUACAUG
rfam:Picea glauca, whole genome shotgun sequence.